UACGGGGGGAGCAAGCGUUGUUCGGAUUUACUGGGCGUAAAGGGCGCGUAGGCGGUCAGCACAAGUCAGUUGUGAAAUCUCCGGGCUUAACUCGGAAAGGUCAACUGAUACUGUGCGACUAGAGUGCAGAAGGGGCAACUGGAAUUCUCGGUGUAGCGGUGAAAUGCGUAGAUAUCGGGAGGAACACCAGUGGCGAAGGCGACUUCCUGGCCUGUUCUUGACGCUGAGGCGCGAAAGCUAGGGUAGCAAACGGG
rnacentral:rRNA from 1 species